CAUGACGACGAUGCUCUGUUAC
rnacentral:siRNA from 1 species